rnacentral:lncRNA from 1 species
AUGUUAAAAUGUUCAUUUGCCAGCAAAUGUUUCAGCAGACAACAUUGCCACCAGUUUCCCCAGUGCGAGGAGGAACACCUGCUGAAAUGGUCUGUGGGAUGGUCACUCGGGCCAAGGCCCUGCAGCAAGUGGCCAGGACGUCGUUGCAGACUCUUCUCCCUCAGUUGCCUGCGUCCGAGCCCUGGAGCGGACAACCCUUGCAAGCAGAGGAGAGAUGCUGGUAGGUAAAGAUGCCCCAUGGUUGCUUCAAAGGAGGUCAUUUUUCGUUUGAUUGUAGUCUGG